UGGAGUGUGCAUGUGUGGGGUGAGUAUAAGCCAGCCUCCACUGAAGUUAAGCAACGUUGAGCGUGGAUAGUACUUGGAUGGGUGACCGCUUGGGAACACCACGUAACGUUGGCG
rnacentral:rRNA from 1 species